AAGGUUCUAGCUUAAUUAAAGUGUCUGAGUUGCAUUCAGGAGAUGUAGGUUAGCAUUCUACGAGCCUUA
rnacentral:tRNA from 1 species